GUAGGAAGGGGCUCAUUCGAGAGACGGCUGGCCCUGCCUUCUCUCAGUUAGGGGAAGAGCCUCGAUGCCUUGUGAUUGUACAGAAAGACUUGGUUUUAGCAAGUUUAGUUUCAUAAAUGAUGGGGAAGAUUUCCUCAAGUUUCACGAAGAGGAGAAAUUGAUAAUUACUUCUAAAAAUGUUAAUUUGAGUUUGUUGUUAGUGUAAGCUAGCUUAAGAUGCCACACUAUUUAAAGAGGCAGGCAUGUUGAAACCAGUUUCUGCAUAGCCUAGAGUAGCUUUGGUGACCUGUUUUCAUUCUGAAACACAAUGGAUCUUACAUAGCUGUUCUGUUGCCAUGGCCCCAAAAGGACACAGGGAGGGAAAGAGGUGUCCACAGAGACAAACUCACAGCCCACAGUUUCCAUCUAGCAGACAGAGCUGAUGAAGCUACAUCCCCAUCUUGUGACUUUUAAAAGAGUCUCACACAAUUCCUGCAGCAUUACAAAUGAAAAUGAAGAGGCAUCUAUUUUGUGCAGUGGAGGUGGGCGCAGUCUCAGCCUUGCCUUGCUUGACCCUGCAUUUCUUUCUGCAAAAUUUUAUAGAAGUGCUUUGGAACUCAAAUUCCACCCUGCCUGCAACCCAGUGUAUCCAACUGUAAGCCAGGAUUGUUCUGGACUGUACUUUGCAGUGUGGCAGCCAUCAGCUACCUUAAAUGUGCCAACUACUAGUCCAAGAAGAGAUGCAUGGUCAGUGGAAGAUACACCUUGGAUUUCAGAGACAAGGGAAGGAAAAAGUGAAACCAAAACAACAAAAAGAAAAUAAAAAAUGAAAG